AAAAUGACUCUCGGCAACGGAUAUCUAGGCUCUCGCAUCGAUGAAGAACGUAGCAAAAUGCGAUACUUAGUGUGAAUUGCAGAAUCCCGUGAACCAUCGAAUUUUUGAAUGCAAGUUACGCCCGAAGCCAUUAGGCUGAGGGCACGUCUGCCUGGGCGUCA
rnacentral:rRNA from 1 species